UGUGGGAGCUGGCUUGCCUGCGAUAGCGGUCUGAAGUUAAGCAGAUGUUGACUGAUCGGCCGCUAUCGCAGGCAAGCCAGCUCCCACA
rnacentral:misc_RNA from 1 species